CAGCAGCCGCGGUAAUACCGGCGGCCCGAGUGGCGGUCACUAUUAUUGGGCUUAAAACGUCCGUAGCCGGGUUGGGAAGUCCUCCGGGAAAUCUGGCCGCUUAACGGUCAGAAUGCCGGAGGAUACUCCCAGCCUAGGGAGCGGGAGAGGCCGAGGGUAUUCCCGGAGUAGGGGGGAAAUCCUAUAAUCCCGGGAGGACCACCUGUGGCGAAGGCGCUCGGCUGGAACGCGUCCGACGGUGAGGGACGAAGGCCAGGGGAGCAAACCGGAUUAGAUACCCGGGUAGUCCUGGCUGUAAACGAUGCGGACUUUGUGUCGGACAAGCUAUGAGCUUGUCCGGUGCCGGAGGGAAACCGUUAAGUCCGCCGCCUGGGGAGUACGGCCGCAAGGCUGAAACUUAAAGGAAUUGGCGGG
rnacentral:rRNA from 1 species